GUGCCACCUUUUUUCUUUUACUUUCAGAAGACAGAAUAAGGCCGAUGUAGUCGCCUUCCACAUGGCACUGCAGAGUCCCAAGACCAUGGUCCUCCUGAAUAGGAUAACUAAGGAAAAGACAAACUGAGGCUGUAUCCCAGACCAAGGCUGAGAUGGGAUCACCUAGCAAAAUAUGGCACAUUCCCAAGGAUGUAGUAGGAGUUUCUACCCCCCACAAGAAGAGUAGUUUUCUUGUAAGGGCAAAAUCAGACAGAUGGAGUAGAACAGAAGAGGAUGCCCCCAACCCAUCCAGAGUGAAGGAAAAAUUAGACACCAUGUAUGGAA
rnacentral:lncRNA from 1 species